AGGGGGCUUCAUAGGAAGAGGCCUUAUACCAUUGGUUUUUAUAGCUUAGUAUUGCAGACACUGACUGCAAGUGGCUCUCCAGGAUUUCAAGUAGAAGUCCCUCUAGGGCUGCCAGGUCUCCAGUUUUUGCCUGGAGACUCUGGAUUUUUGGAGUCCUAUCCAGUGUGCCCUUCUUCCUUGGGGUGGCCAUGGUCGUCCUCUGUUGUUUUCACUCGAGGGGGAGAUUAUGCUGAGAGAUGGAGGGACAGAUGGUAGAGAGCAGUCUUCGCCAGCUGGGCCCAGUCCUGCAAGAUGAUCAUCCGCAAGCAAAAAUCCCACAGGAAAAGGCGAUGAUCCAGCAACAGCAGCAGCAGCAGUAGCAACAGCAGCAGCAGCAGAUCCGUCCUUCCUGGGCAGCAAUGCUCUCCCUUCAUAUGUCACAGUAGUAACAAAGGGUCGGUGAGGUCAACAAAGCCCCUUCCCUCUACAAAGCCAGCUGUCAUGGGGUAGCAGCAACAGCAGCGGUAAUAGCAGCGGCGGCGAGAAUCCUCCCAACCACCGCGCCCAUCCAGCCUCCUAAGCCAAAUAACGAGCCAACAAACUUUCCGCGAGCUGCGAGCCGGGGCAUGACCCAGCUACUCACUGCGUCUCGCUCCGUCUCUCAACGCGCGUCUGACUCUCUCGUCGCCCACGCUUUCCUCGCCUCACCUCCCAUUUCAAGGGCCUCACUUUCCCGUCCAAAGCUCGGCCCAGCUAAGAAUCUUGUGACAGCUGGCGUUGUCAGGCAGCAGCUCCUCGUACGGUCCUCGUAUGGUCUUCCCUUCCGUCUUUCUGUCUUCCCCGUAAAAUUCGGAUGGGAGAGUGACGGAAUAGAGGGCUUUUUAGCAAAGGUGAGUGGGAGGAGGUGGCGGCGGCGGUGGUAGAGAGGAAGGAAGAGGUUGCUGCCCCCCAGCUUAUAGGAAGGCAAGUAAAGGGGUAGAGACUGCCAGGCUGAGCUGCAGGAGCUCUGUGCCUUAAAGAGGGUCAUAAAUCAUACUCUCAGGUGGCUUGAGGGCUGCAGGGGAGCAGAAGCGUUAAUUAAAAGCUCUUUUACAGGUUUUCAGAAAAGUUCUAUCCUUGUAAGAGAUCUUUUGCUUUCCAGUUAAGCUAUAUAAACUGUAAAUUAGUAUGUGGGUGGAGGAAUGAUAAUUGGUAAAGAAAUGUCCACUGCUAUCUGGUUUGGGCUGGAAUUUUUGCUGUGUCCCUGGGUCAUAGAUAAUGUGUGUCUCUUAAAAAAGCAUGCAUAAUCUCCACAAAAAUAAGUGUGUGUAAUGUCAACAGAGCCCUUUGUGGUGCAUUUUGUCUUCUUAUUUCAGCAUGAUUUAUGCGGUUGGGAAAUGUAACCAACCUAUCCUACUGUUGGGUCCUUACUUAUCAGACUGUCACCAAAUCAAAAUUUCUGGGACAAAAUAUUCUACAUUAUUAUUAUUAUUAUCAUGCAUGUAAUUGGAUAAGCCACAUUUUUGAAUACUAGAACAGAAGGGCUUUACAAAGUUUGUCUCACUUCAUUGGGACUACAGGAAGUGGCUGAUUUUAGCUGGCUGGUAAUCUAAAUGUCUUGUGUGAGAAUAUUUUGCUUUGUGCAGGACAUGGCAAAUAGGAAUUGAAGAUUUUCUUUGCUGCUUUAAUUUGUUUCUGUGGAAACAGUGACAUUGGCACAGGACUGUUGAACGGUGUGACAAUCUACUCAAAACUUAUUUUAUGAAAAUCCCCCUUAGGAUUUGAUUUUUUCCAAAGAGGCCUCAGCCAUGCCUGUGUAUUUGAGUCUGCAAAUUUGUAUAGCUGCAUUUUUCAGACAUUGGGAUUUGAUGAAACCCUUGUCAGGUGUAAAUGAAAUAGUUGCUUUGAAGUUAGUGGAGUAAACUUGAUUUAUGCCAGCUAAUGUUAUGAACUGCAGUGUAAUUCUUUUAUGUGUUUAUGGAAUGACAUAAGUACUGUGAUCCUAAAACAAAUGUCUCAUAAGUAUUGAAGGCUAUAGUUACAAGAAUACAGUUAAAGAACUUAGGUUGUCUGUAUGGAUAAUUUAGAGUUGCUAAUUGCUUCAUGUGGAUAGGGAUGCAUAUGAUAUGCCUGCAUAAUUUGUGACCACCUAGGAAAGGAGAGGUCACCAGUCAAGUCUACUUGCCAAGUAUUGGGCAAGGAGAAUAAAUGUACAUUUAUUUAUGGAGCACACAACAUAUGCUACUAAAUAAAACAUUUCUAAGAAAAGGUUUAAUGACCUAUUUUUGUUAGAUACAUAGCUGUCUGAACUGCCGUCAUAAUCCCUUCAAAACUGACCAACAAUAUUAUUUCUGAUAAUAUGAUGCAGCAGUCAGUGCACACAUUCUGAGCACAUAUUUUUUUGCAUAGCAAGUCUUGGGAUCAGGGUGAAGGUUAGUUGGUAAUUGAGCACAGCAGAAUUAUCACUAAUGCCAUCCUGCAUAUAGUAUAUUAAUUGUGUGUAACGAUUUCUAAGCUUUGGAAUAGUAUGACUGACAGUUUAUAACCCUCAGGAAAAUACUAGAAGCUUUGUUUGGGAGUUUGCUUAAAAGAUUCCAUGAAAUCAUAUCACACUUACUUGCCCUUUUAGAAAUAAAAGCUAAUUAACUUCCUGCACAAGCCAAUUUGCAGGUACAUUGUAAGCACAGGUUAGAAUUAAGGAGCAGUAAUUGCUUAUAAUGAUGAUCAGCAUAACUGAUGUGAUAAAUUAUGAUUAAUGAGUAAAUUAGCAGUGAAUGCUGUAAAUGAGUCUGCUAUGAAAAUUAUUUUAAAAGAAAUGAAGGGCAACCAGAUCUGUCAAAUGUGCUGCACAUGCUUAAUAGUUCAAGUCUUAGAGAAAAUAUAAAACCUUUUACAUAGCACUGCAUGCAUCUAACAAUCAACUGGUGAUAUCAUUUAUUAUUAAUAAUAAAUAUAUUAUUAUUAUUUAUUUGUUUAUCACUUUUUACACUCAAAGGAUCUGAAAGCGACUUGCAACAUGAAUAAAAAUACACAA